ACGCAAUAGAUACCCUGGUAGUCCACGCCGUAAACGUUGGGAACUAGGUGUGGGCGACAUUCCACGUUGUCCGUGCCGCAGCUAAACGCAUUAAGUUUCCCGCCUGGGGAGUACGGCCGCAAGGCUGAAACUCAAAGGAAUUGACGGGGGCCCGCACAAGCGGCGGAGCAUGUGGCUUAAUUCGACGCAACGCGAAGAACCUUACCAAGGCUUGACAUACACCGGAAAGCGCCAGAGAUGGUGCCCCCUUGUGGUCGGUGUACAGGUGGUGCAUGGCUGUCGUCAGCUCGUGUCGUGAGAUGUUGGGUUAAGUCCCGCAACGAGCGCGACCCCUGUCCUGUGUUGCCAGCAGGCCCUUGUGGUGCUGGGGACUCACAGGAGACCGCCGGGGUCAACUCGGAGGAAGGUGGGGACGACGUCAAGUCAUCAUGCCCCUUAUGUCUUGGGCUGCACACGUGCUACAAUGGCCGGUACAAUGAGCUGCGAUACCGUGAGGUGGAGCGAAUCUCAAAAAGCCGGUCUCAGUUCGGAUU
rnacentral:rRNA from 1 species